ensembl:miRNA MIR129-2 microRNA 129-2
UGUCCUUCGCGAAUCUUUUUGCGGUCUGGGCUUGCUGUAUAUAACUAUGUAGCCGGGAAGCCCUUACCCCAAAAAGCAUUCGAGGAGGACACA